rnacentral:rRNA from 1 species
AAACUACGAUUAGAUACCCUAUUAUUUUAAAAGUUAUUUAUGAAGCUUGAGUAGUAAGAGAUAUAAUCUUGAAACUUAAAAAUUUUGACGGUAUUUUAGUCUUUUUAGAGGAACUUGUCCUAUAAUCGAUAGUCCUCGAUAUACUUUACUUAAUUUUGUUGGUCAGCUUAUAUACCGCCGUUGCCAGGGUAUUUUAGAAAAAUAUACUCAGAAAACUUAAAAGGUUAGAAGUCAGGUAAAGGUGUAGCUAAUGAUUAAGUAGAGAUGAGUUACAAUACAAUUAUGUAUACGGAUUUUAAUAUGAAAAGUUGAAUGAAGGUGGAUUUAAUAGUAAUACUAUUUAAUGAGAUAGUGUGAUUUAGCUCUAAAAUGUGUACA